rnacentral:rRNA from 1 species
AGCUCCAGUAGCGUAUAUUAAAGUUGUUGCAUUUAAAAAGCUCGUAGUUGGUGGUUCACUUGGUCUCGUCGCGCUAGUCGUUGAGGAGACCUAGUUGAUGCUCGGUGGUUACGCCGUUUGCACUGUGAGAAAAUUAGAGUGAUCCAAACAGUCUCGGACUGAAUGCUUCAGCAUGGUAUGAAUGGGUUUUCGACGUCGCUUCCCGUAGUACUUCGGUGUUGUGGGUUGCGGGGUAAAGGUUAAUAGAGACAGACGAUGGAAUCCGUAUUGAGUUGCUAGAGGUGAAAUUCUUGGACCAACUCAAGACGAUCUGAAGCGAAAGCUCUUUCCACGGAUGUUCUUA